rnacentral:rRNA from 1 species
UACGUAGGGUGCGAGCGUUGUCCGGAAUUACUGGGCGUAAAGAGCUCGUAGGUGGUUUGUCGCGUUGUUCGUGAAAUCUCACGGCUUAACUGUGAGCGUGCGGGCGAUACGGGCAGACUUGAGUACUGCAGGGGAGAUUGGAAUUCCUGGUGUAGCGGUGGAAUGCGCAGACAUCAGGAGGAACACCGGUGGCGAAGGCGGGUCUCUGGGCCGUAACUGACGCUGAGGAGCGAAAGCAUGGGGAGCGAACAGG